GCUGAGAGAGAGACACACACAGAGAGAGAGAGAGAGAGAGAGAGAGAGAGAGAGAGAGAGAGAGAGAGAGAGAGAGAGAGAGAGAGAGAGAGAGAGAGAAAGAGAGAGAGAGAGAGAGAGGGAGAGAGAGCGUAGGAGAGCAGGAAAGAAUCCCUUGCUCUCUAUUUAGUAUUUAAAAAUAGAAAGGAAAAGAGCCUAGUUUGAAUUUGAGAUAAUGCUGGGCUGCUUUGUGAAUGCUCUUACAGUGUAUCUCCUUCCAAACAAAUUGGGCCAAGGGUACAAAGCUCUCUUUCUUGUGUGCUCACAAACCUGUUUUUAAUGGCUCGUGUGGCACUGGUUUGGCCCCUGAGCAGUAAUGAACCACUCUACAAGUCACCACAUGCAAGGCAGACAUGAAUCUCCCAGGGAAGAAAAUGCUCUAACAUGAAUUGGUUUUAAUCCAAGAGAUCUUGGUCAUCCAGAUUUUCCCAGUUUGAGAAGGAGUAAUCACUUUCCACGGUUUUUGGCAUACUGAAAGCCCAUAAUAAUGGCACUAAGGGACACAUAUGAGCUAUUUUCAGGUGAAUUUCGAGGAGCAAUGGUAAGGAUUGAAGAAGUGGUUUCCUGAUCAUGGCAGCAAGACUUCUCUGAAGACUCCAUUAUUUCCUCCCUUGGGAGGGGCAGAUACUACCUGGUUGAUCAGAGACAAGUUUGACCAUUAAACUAUUUCCCUGGCAUGAAGAAUCUGACCAUUCUGGGACAAGAUGACCCACUAUCAAAGCAGUAGGAGAAACACUGAGGUCAAUAAGCCAGCAUCCCUCUUUUGAUUAAAGCCUAGACAAACCUACUAAAGGUAGAAGCAAGUAUUAUUCUGAAAGGGCUGUGGGCCAUCUGAUGACAGAAAAGGUUAAGCCACAGUGUCCACGUUGGUUCCUGCCAUCCCACAGUUGUGUCACCGCUAUGAAAUGCCAUCAUUUUAGACUUGGUGAGAUCUUGAAAAGCAGCUGCAGUCUUCCAUCCCUUCCAAGCACCCUCACAGAAGAGAAGAGAGAGUGCCCAAGCAUCGUCAUGAAUGGGCUGCAUUAAGGUAGAGACUAUGGAAGUAGUUACAGUAAUAAGAGCAGCAGCAGAAAGGUCACAAGGGAAAGAGGAGCCAGCACAGAGAGAACCCAGCAGAAGGUUGCAUUUGGAUGUUUGACUGGCCAAUGACAUGUAAAAUGCCUAAUUAGCAGUUUUUCAAGCACUAUUUAUAUUCCAAGGCUUAAGUUUUGACCUCCCAACUGAUUAUACUAGUAGGAAUGUUAUAUGAAUUGGAUUCUAAUCACCUGUCAUAUGUGCUGAGACCUCAUUUCUGUGUGGAAAUAAAAGGACUUCUUCUAUACCUA
ensembl:lncRNA